rnacentral:tRNA from 1 species
GACGCGGUGGCCUAAUGGUUAGUGUGCUGGACUCCGGACUGAGUGGUCCGGGUUCGAGCCCUGCCGGUGUGACU